GGCCCGAUAGCUCAGUUGGUAGAGCAAGGGACUGAAAAUCCCUGUGUCGGCGGUUCGAUUCCGCCUUGGGCCACCA
rnacentral:tRNA from 1 species